UACUCCUACGGGAGGCAGCAGUAGGGAAUCUUCGGCAAUGGACGGAAGUCUGACCGAGCAACGCCGCGUGAGUGAAGAAGGUUUUCGGAUCGUAAAGCUCUGUUGUAAGAGAAGAACGAGUGUGAGAGUGGAAAGUUCACACUGUGACGGUAUCUUACCAGAAAGGGACGGCUAACUACGUGCCAGCAGCCGCGGUAAUACGUAGGUCCCGAGCGUUAUCCGGAUUUAUUGGGCGUAAAGCGAGCGCAGGCGGUUAGAUAAGUCUGAAGUUAAAGGCUGUGGCUUAACCAUAGUACGCUUUGGAAACUGUUUAACUUGAGUGCAAGAGGGGAGAGUGGAAUUCCAUGUGUAGCGGUGAAAUGCGUAGAUAUAUGGAGGAACACCGGUGGCGAAAGCGGCUCUCUGGCUUGUAACUGACGCUGAGGCUCGAAAGCGUGGGGAGCAAACAGGAUUAGAUACCCUGGUAGUCCACGCCGUAAACGAUGAGUGCUAGGUGUUAGACCCUUUCCGGGGUUUAGUGCCGUAGCUAACGCAUUAAGCACUCCGCCUGGGGAGUACGACCGCAAGGUUGAAACUCAAAUGAAUUGACGGA
rnacentral:rRNA from 1 species